UAUGGCUUGUAUUCUCACGACUUGGACUGUCACUGGCAAGUGAACGCCCCGAACGGAGAGGUUUUGGAGUACAAAGUCGAGUCUUUGAGCGUGGAAGAUAGCCCAAACUGCACAUACGACUAUCUUAGGUUAACGGAUGGUUCUGGCGAUUUCCAAACAUUUUGCGGAUUUACACGAACCGUUGGUACCUUAUACAGUCCAAUUUACAUCCAUUUUCACAGCGAUGAUUCUGUUGCUUUUUAUGGAUUUACACUUGUAAUUACGCCUGUGACUACCGCAUUAUUGUCCACAUCACCGUCGACUAUGUCUACAGUUGAUUACAUGAUCCAAGAUGUUCAACGAACUGCCUUUUUGGUAUCAACACAUGUUUCACUUCCAAACCUGGCCACGGGUUCUGAGACGGCUAUACCAACGGAGUCAAGCACAUUCACUCCUUCACAAACUGAACAGCAGUCUACAGCACCACCAAACGUCAUCCCCUCAAGCUUUAUCUCAAUCCGGAGUGGGCAACUAUCUUUAGCUACUGGCGCUUCCGGCUCAUUUCAGACGACACAACCUAAUUCAGCCCCAGUAUCAUCCGAAACGAUUCAACCAUCCUUCAGUUCAGUGCAGUUCCUAUCAGGGCAAUCAGCAACAAGUCUGUCUAUAAA